AGUGAACGCUGGCGGUAGGCCUAACACAUGCAAGUCGAACGGCAGCACAGUAAGAGCUUGCUCUUACGGGUGGCGAGUGGCGGACGGGUGAGGAAUACAUCGGAAUCUACUUUUUCGUGGGGGAUAACGUAGGGAAACUUACGCUAAUACCGCAUACGACCUACGGGUGAAAGCAGGGGAUCUUCGGACCUUGCGCGAUUGAAUGAGCCGAUGUCGGAUUAGCUAGUUGGCGGGGUAAAGGCCCACCAAGGCUACGAUCCGUAGCUGGUCUGAGAGGAUGAUCAGCCACACUGGAACUGAGACAUGGUCCAGACUCCUACGGGAGGCGGCAGUGGGGAAUAUUGGACAAUGGGCGCAAGCCUGAUCCAGCCAUACCGCGUGGGUGAAGAAGGCCUUCGGGUUGUAAAGCCCUUUUGUUGGGAAAGAAAAGCAGCAGGUUAAUACCCCGCUGUUCUGACGGUACCCAAAGAAUAAGCACCGGCUAACUUCGUG
rnacentral:rRNA from 1 species